rnacentral:rRNA from 1 species
CCUACGUGGUGCUGCAGUGGGGAAUAUUGGACAAUGGGCGAAAGCCUGAUCCAGCCAUGCCGCGUGUGUGAAGAAGGCCUUCGGGUUGUAAAGCACUUUCAGUGGGGAAGAAAGCCUUGGGGCUAAUACCCUCGAGGAAGGACAUCACCCACAGAAGAAGCACCGGCUAACUCCGUGCCAGCAGCCGCGGUAAUACGGAGGGUGCGAGCGUUAAUCGGAAUUACUGGGCGUAAAGCGCGCGUAGGCGGUCUGAUAAGCCGGUUGUGAAAGCCCCGGGCUCAACCUGGGAACGGCAUCCGGAACUGUCAGGCUAGAGUGCAGGAGAGGAAGGUAGAAUUCCCGGUGUAGCGGUGAAAUGCGUAGAGAUCGGGAGGAAUACCAGUGGCGAAGGCGGCCUUCUGGACUGACACUGACGCUGAGGUGCGAAAGCGUGGGUAGCAAACAGGAUUAGAUACCCCAGUAGUC